GGGUGUCCAAAGUGUGCGCUACUUCAGCAAGAACUGGAGAUGUGUCGUCAAGAAAAUGAGAGGCUGCAAGCAGGGUGUCCAAACUCUGCUACUUCAGCAAAAACUGGAGAUGUGUCGUCAAGAAAAUGAGACUGCGAGCAGAUAUUAUUCAAAUAGAACAUUUCUAUCAUGUUUAUUUUUUUGGGGGGUUAUAGCCUACAGUUGAACGGCGGGAACCCUGAUUACUGAGUUCAUCGUAAAGUUGUGUUCAAUUAUUUUUGGGGCAGACAAUCAUCUCUGUUGUUAUUCAUUUGGGAACAGAUGACUCCCAUUGAGAAAGCAUUGGCUGCAUCCAAAAUACUCGGACACAAAAUCCCAAUACAUUUAUGACGAACAAUGAUGUACUACAUCAUAUUAAUAUGUGUUCAUGUGUCUGUGUGGCCAUACUCUUUAGAGGUAAACAUAUAAAAAUCUGGAUUCUCAGAUCAUUUGGAAUAAUAAUUGCUAACUGGUAUGUCCUCCUGCAGGACUACAAUUCCAUUUAGUCUGGAAGUCAGGAUGUGGAGCAAGUGUUUUGAUGUCACAUUGCUAAUGGCUGUAAAUUGUAUUGAAGUCUCAUUUCAGGUAAUUUAAUCUAACUUUUUGACUUUGACAAAAAUUUAUUCCAGAGCUACGUAAUCGUGACGGGAUAGAUUUGUAAAGGAAGACACAAAUGGAAUGGGAUUUCACAGAUAAAUGGAAUAAGUAACAGAUUCAAAUGAAAUUGUUUAACUUUUUGUUAAGAUUUAAUAAAGAUUUGAUAUGCCUA